rnacentral:tRNA from 1 species
UCCCUAGUGGCUCAGAUGGUAAAGCAUCUGUCUACAAUGCAGGAGACCCAGGUUCAAUCCCUGGGUCAGGAA